UGAGCAACCUGCCCUCAGCUUUGGGAUAACCCUCGGAAACGGGGGCUAAUACCGGAUAUUCACUGCUUCGCGCAUGUGGGGUGGUGGAAAGUUUUUCGGCUGGGGAUGGGCUCGCGGCCUAUCAGCUUGUUGGUGGGGUGAUGGCCUACCAAGGCGACGACGGGUAGCCGGCCUGAGAGGGCGACCGGCCACACUGGGACUGAGACACGGCCCAGACUCCUACGGGAGGCA
rnacentral:rRNA from 1 species